rnacentral:misc_RNA from 1 species
UUAAGUCAGCGGGUAUCCCUACCUGAUCCGAGGUCAAGCGUAAAAUGGUAGACUUGUGGAUGCCACCGUCAGCAGCGGAGAGCGCAAAAUGUACUACGCUCCCACACGGGACGGCGGGCUGCCAAUGCAUUUGAGGCGAGUUCACGCGCGCAGCGGAACAAAACGCCCAACACCCAGCAGGGCUGGAGGGUACAAAUGAC